GUUUUUCACCAGCAGGAACUGGGAGACUAGUCAUGAUUGAGGGAAAGAUGAAUGCGCAAUUUACAGAAACAUUGUGGAUGAAAACCUGAUCUAGAGCGCUCUUGACCUCAAACUUGGGUGAUGGUUCAUCUUUGAGCAGGAUAAUGACUAAGCACACAGCCAAGAUAUCAAAGAAGAGGCUUCAGCACAACUUUGUGAAUAUCUUUGAGU